rfam:Sphaerobolus stellatus SS14 unplaced genomic scaffold SPHSTscaffold_19, whole genome shotgun sequence.
GCCUUGCUAGCUCAAUCGGUAGAGCGUGAGACUUUUAUAAAUGAUGUUUGGAUCACCAUGAAUUGGUAUCUCAAGGUUGCGGGUUCGACCCCCGCGUGAGGCU